GCUAGGGUAGUAUAGUAGUUUGAGCCUUAGACUACGUCUCUGGAGACCAGGGUUCAAUUCCCCACUCAAGCA